UAAUACGGAGGGUCCAAGCGUUAUCCGGAUUUAUUGGGUUUAAAGGGUCCGCAGGCGGGAAAAUAAGUCAGUGGUGAAAUCCUAUCGCUUAACGAUAGAACUGCCAUUGAUACUGUUUUUCUUGAGUGUAAUUGAAGUGGGCGGAAUGUGUCAUGUAGCGGUGAAAUGCAUAGAUAUGACACAGAACACCGAUUGCGAAGGCAGCUCACUAAAUUAUUACUGACGCUCAGGGACGAAAGCGUGGGGAGCAAACAGGAUUAGAUACCCUGGUAGUCCACGCCGUAAACGAUGAUUACUCGGUGCUAGCGAUAUACGGUUAGUGCCUAAGCGAAAGUGAUAAGUAAUCCACCUGGGGAAUACGGUCGCAAGAUUGAAACUUAAAUGAAUUGACGG
rnacentral:rRNA from 1 species